GCGUCGGUAGUGCAACGGUUAGCAUACGCUUUCGGAAAGAGUGAGUCCUGCUUUCGAAUCCCGGCCGACGCA